rnacentral:lncRNA from 1 species
UACGAAAAGAAGUCUGGUCACAGCUGACAACAGCCUAUACCCCAGAGACCCCUGAGACAUCUGAUCAGUUCCAGGUCGGAGACUACAGCUACAUACAACGACACGGAGCCCAGACACUCAAGCCUCGCUGGAAAGGACUGUACCUGGUGCUGCUGACCACCCUGACAGCCGUCAAUUCUCAGCCCUCACCAGCCACAUACUAGCUGUUGGGGCUGAGAGCUGGGACCCAGAGGGACACUCGGCAUGUUUGCCCUGGGUUCCAUUGGGAUAGGUGUGGGAAUAGGCUUGAUUUCUAUUACAAAUGAUUAUUACAUAUGUUAGUACUCCUAACACUUCUUGGGACUGUG